AUGCACGCUGGCGGCGUGCCUCAUCCCUGCAAGUCGCGCGCACGGACGAGAAGCUUGCUUCUCUGAUGUUAGCGGCGGACGGGUGAGUAACACGUGGAUAACCUACCUAUAAGACUGGGAUAACUUCGGGAAACCGGAGCUAAUACCGGAUAAUAAUUUGAACCGCAUGGUUCAAAAGUGAAAGACGGUCUUGCUGUCACUUAUAGAUGGAUCCGCGCUGCAUUAGCUAGUUGGUAAGGUAACGGCUUACCAAGGCAACGAUGCAUAGCCGACCUGAGAGGGUGAUCGGCCACACUGGAACUGAGACACGGUCCAGACUCCUACGGGAGGCAGCAGUAGGGAAUCUUCCGCAAUGGGCGAAAGCCUGACGGAGCAACGCCGCGUGAGUGAUGAAGGUCUUCGGAUCGUAAAACUCUGUUAUUAGGGAAGAACAUAUGUGUAAGUAACUGUGCACAUCUUGACGGUACCUAAUCAGAAAGCCACGGCUAACUACGUG
rnacentral:rRNA from 1 species